rnacentral:rRNA from 3 species
GGAAGUAAAAGUCGUAACAAGGUCUCCGUUGGUGAACCAGCGGAGGGAUCAUUACUGAGUUACCGCUCAUCAACCCUUUGUGAACAUACCUUAACUGUUGCUUCGGCGGGUAGGCGUCCCCUAAAAAGGACGUCUCCCGGCCCUCUCCCGUCCGCGGGUGGGGCGCCCGCCGGAGGAUAACCAAACUCUGAUUUAACGACGUUUCUUCUGAGUGACACAAGCAAAUAAUCAAAACUUUUAACAACGGAUCUCUUGGUUCUGGCAUCGAUGAAGAACGCAGCGAAAUGCGAUAAGUAAUGUGAAUUGCAGAAUUCAGUGAAUCAUCGAAUCUUUGAACGCACAUUGCGCCCGCCAGCAUUCUGGCGGGCAUGCCUGUUCGAGCGUCAUUUCAACCCUCAAGCUCUGCUUGGUGUUGGGGCUCUACGGUUGACGUAGGCCCUUAAAGGUAGUGGCGGACCCUCUCGGAGCCUCCUUUGCGUAGUAACAUUUCGUCUCGCAUUGGGAUUCGGAGGGACUCUAGCCGUAAAACCCCCAAUUUUACUAAGGUUGACCUCGGAUCAGGUAGGAAUACCCGCUGAACUUAAGCAUAUCAAUAAGCGGAGGA